GAUGAACGCUGACAGAAUGCUUAACACAUGCAAGUCGAUUCGAUUUACCUUCGGGUAUUGAGGAUGGCGGACGGGUGAGUAACGCGUAAGGAACUUGCCUCUUGGUCUGGGACAACUGUUGGAAACGACAGCUAAUACCGGAUAUUAUGAGAUUCUCGCAUGGGAAACUUAUGAAAGCUAUAUGCGCCAAGAGAGAGCCUUGCGUUCCAUUAGCUAGUUGGUGGGGUAACGGCCCACCAAGGCGACGAUGGAUAGCCGGCCUGAGAGGGUGAACGGCCACAAGGGGACUGAGACACGGCCCUUACUCCUACGGGAGGCAGCAGUGGGGAAUAUUGGANNAUGGGNNNNAAGCCUGAUCCAGCAAUUCUGUGUGCACGAUGAAGGUCUUCGGAUUGUAAAGUGCUUUCAGUUGGGAAGAAGAAAGUGACGGUACCAACAGAAGAAGCGACGGCUAAAUACGUGCCAGCAGCCGCGGUAAUACGUAUGUCGCAAGCGUUAUCCGGAUUUAUUGGGCGUAAAGCGCGUCUAGGCGGAAAAAUAAGUCUGAUGUUAAAAUGCGGGGCUCAACUCCGUAUUGCGUUGGAAACUGUUUUUCUAGAGUACUGGAGAGGUGGGCGGAACUACAAGUGUAGAGGUGAAANUCGUAGAU
rnacentral:rRNA from 1 species